rnacentral:rRNA from 1 species
UGGGGAUGACGUCAAGUCCUCAUCGGCCCUUAUGGGUAGGGCUUCACACGUCAUACAAUGGUCGGUACAGAGGGUUGCCAAGCCGCGAGGUGGAGCCAAUCCCUUAAAGCCGAUCGUAGUCCGGAUCGUAGUCUGCAACUCGACUACGUGAAGUCGGAAUCGCUAGUAAUCGCAGAUCAGCAUGCUGCGGUGAAUACCGGUUCCCGGGUCUU